UCAAACUUGGUCAUUUAGAGGAAGUAAAAGUCGUAACAAGGUCUCCGUAGGUGAACCUGCGGAGGGAUCAUUAGAGAGAACAAGUGGGUGUGGGCUUUGCUUGCCACCCACAUUUACCUCACACACACACACACUUACAUGAAAAUGUUGAACUGCCAAAGGGAAAGGAGAUUUGCAGAUGCGGCAACUAAUCUACUUGGUGCGGAUAUACCCCCUCCGGGAACCCAUGGGCUUUGCCCAUGCUGGACCGCGAUGCUUGGAAGACCGGCCCUUAGUCGGCUGGGCCCGCUAUCAUAAGAGCUCUGGUUUGCGUCCAUGUGUAGUCACCGACUCCUUCUGGCACCCUCAUCUCAUCCUUUUUAACCCGGUAAUUGCAUGUGUUUUGGUGAGCCGAAAGGCAAACCCCAGUACAACUUUCAACAAUGGAUCUCUUGGCUCCCCCAUCGAUGAAGAACGCAGC
rnacentral:misc_RNA from 1 species